AAUGAACGUUAGCGGCGCGCCUGAUGCAUGCAAGUCGAACGGUCUAUUGUUUCGCAAGAGACACUAGAUAGUGGCGAACGGCUGAGUAACGCGUAAGUUACCUACCUCUAAGUGGGGAAUAACCUGUCGAAAGGCAGGUUAAUACCGCAUGUGCUAACCUGUGAAAACUUGUUAGUAAAGCUUUCGGGUGCUUGGAGACGGGCUUGCGUCUGAUUAGCUAGUUGGUGGGGUAAUGGCUCACCAAGGCGAUGAUCAGUAGCUGGUCUGAGAGGACGACCAGCCAGACAGGGACUGAGACACGGCCCUGACUCCUACGGGAGGCAGCAGCAAGGAAUUUUGCGCAAUGGGCGAAAGCCUGACGCAGCGACGCCGCGUGAGGGAUGAAGGCCUUCGGGUUGUAAACCUCUUUUCUUAAGGAAGAAUUAUGACGGUACUUAGGGAAUAAGUCUUGGCUAACUACGUGCCAGCCGCCGCAGUAAUAC
rnacentral:rRNA from 1 species